UUGACCGCCUCCAGCUGAGCAUCGCCCAGCGUCCAGUUGACACUCACACAGGAGGCCUUCCCCGGCUGCUGGGACUCGGCACUGCUCAGCCCUACAGGAACACAACACAGCAACAACAUGUGCCCUACAUCGCUGCGUGUCUCUGCCGCUCAGCCUCUCUGACUGGCCUAGAUCUGAAGUGAUGGCUGACGCAGUCUCUACAAGUUGGAUGUCAUUCAGAUCCUCUUCCAGCAUUCAUCCUCACAACAAACGGAAAGCCUCAGGUCUCCGUGGAGCCCCGGAGGCAGACGCGCCAGACAGCUUCAUAGCUGUUGCUUGUCUGGCACAAUGACAUGGUGAUGAGCUGCUCGCCCUGUAAGACCCCGUCCCACGUUUGGACCGGCCCCCGACCUCGCACCGGCACCGUCC